CUGGUGUCUCCUCCUCCUCUGGGGGCGCGGACUUUGCUCUGGGGUCAUGUGACCGGGGUCACGUGCUGAUGUUUGUGUCCCGGGGCCCCGCAGUCUCCCCGAGUUAUUUCGGGCGGAUCCUCGGUGUCUCCUGCAUGAAGAAGUGUCCGUAACCCUAGAAUAGAGGAGCCAACCCUUACUGCCGUCCAUCAUGUACACUUUCCUGCCCGAGAACGUCACGCCGGGCAAGACGAAGGUGUCUAAGCAGCAGAAGCCAUUGAUUGGUGCCGUCCUGCUGGGCAUCGUCUUGGUCAUCGGCGCUGUGGUAUCUUGGUGCUACUACUCCAUCUCCCUGCGCAAAGCCGACCGCCUGAAGACAGAGCUGCUGUACCUGAGGAAAGAUGGAUUCAUCAUACACAACCAGCAAGGCAGGGUGGUCUUCAGGAUGGCCUUCCAGUCUGGGGUUCUAGAUCUAGAUUCCUGCGCAAAAUACGGAGAGAUUUUGUCUUGCACCCGAUCGGAGACGGGGCCCCUGAAAUUCUUUGUCCAGACGGUCAUCAAGGAUAAAGCCACCGUCAUGUGUUACCGGGUUCGCUGGGAGGAGUUUGUGGCCGAUAAGUCGGUCCUCCACACCAUGUACUGGGAUAAUGCCUAUUGGUACGGAGGGGCUGAGAUGCGUACGCAGCACUGGCCCAUCAAGUUAUCCGGGCACCAAGAACCCAAGCCCUUCGUGACUGGCGAUGUCUACUCGUUUAGAGAUGGUUUCGGUGGAAUCUUAGAAAGCUACUGGCUCUCCUCCAACGCAACGGCUAUAAAAAUUAACGCCUCGGUCCCCUUCCAUCUCGGGUGGAACAGCACGGAAAAGGUCUUCUUCUUUGAGGCACGAUAUAAGGAUUCCCCGUAUAAGCCUCCUCCCGGAAAACAGCCCUUCCCCGAGCUGAGCUAUAGGGUGUGCGUGGGGUCAGACGUCACCUCCAUCCACAAGUACAUGGUGAGGAGAUACUUUAACAAGCCCAGCAGGAUCCCCUCAGAAAGUGCCUUCAAGUACCCAAUCUGGUCCACCUGGGCGCAGUACAAAAAAGACGUCAACCAGGAGAAACUCCUGAACUAUACCGAGAGUAUUAAGAAAUACCAGUUCAAUUACAGUCACAUAGAAAUAGAUGACAUGUACUCCAAGUACUACGGGGACUUUGACUUUGACCCCGACAAGUUUCCAGAUGCUCCGGCCAUGUUCAAAAAGCUAAAGGAAGACGGCUUCAAAGUGACCCUGUGGAUUCAUCCUUUCGUCAACUAUAACUCCUCUAACUUUGGCAUUGGCGUAGAGCGGGGGCUCUUCGUGAAGGAGCCCAGUGGUCAGCUGCCAGCCAUGGUUCGAUGGUGGAAUGGGAUUGGCGCUAUCCUGGAUUUUACAAAUCCCAGCACUAAAGAGUGGUUCCAGCACAACCUGAGGCAGCUGAGAACAAAGUACGGCAUUUCAUCCUUUAAGUUUGAUGCCGGGGAAACAAGUUACCUUCCCUACCAGUUUAGCACGUAUCAACCCUUGGCCGAUCCCAACAUGUUCAGUAGGAGGUACACCGAAAUGGCCGACCAGUUUUACGACCUCGCCGAGCUCCGAGUGGGGUAUCAAUCUCAAAACAUUUCAUGUUUCUUCAGAAUCAUUGACCGGGACACCGAUUGGGGCUACGAGUUGGGACUAAAGUCUCUGAUACCCACGGUCCUGACCAUCAGUAUGCUGGGCUACCCCUUCAUCUUGCCCGACAUGAUCGGUGGCAAUGCCUACACCAACUUCACCAAGGACAUGAAGGAGCUCUACAUCCGCUGGCUGGAACUCUCGGCCUUCAUGCCCACCAUGCAGUUUUCCAUCCCUCCCUGGCUCUUUGAUAAAGAAGUUAUCGAAAUCGCUCAGAAAUUCACCAAAAUCCACGAGUCUUUGGUCGCUCCUCUGUUGCUGGAACUUGCUGGAGAAGUCACCGACACCGGAGAUCCCAUCAUUCGGCCGAUUUGGUGGAUUUCUCCCAACGACGAAGCCGCCCAUAAAAUAGAUUCUCAGUUUUUGAUAGGAGACACCUUGAUGGUGGCCCCGGUGCUAGAGCCUGGAAAACAGGAACGUGACGUCUACCUUCCUGCCGGCAAAUGGCGAAGCUACAAAGGGGAACUUUACCAAAGGACUCCCGUACUGCUGACCGACUACCCCGUAGACUUAGAUGAAGUGGCCUACUUUAUGUGGGUGGCUUCUUAAUGCACCGAGUCGAUUUUGGUAACAACGCAGCAUUUUCGCUUCGCACCAGCAAAAUCAUUUUUAAAGCAUCAAGUAUUAACCAGACUUAUCCUCCGAGGACACUAAUGGGCCACGUGGCUGCACUUUCACUUUCAUUUCACAGUAUCAUCCUAUACAACUUUACCACGUGCAUCGUGUACUUAUAUCGAGCUUAAAUUUUAUACCUUAUGCUCCGGUCACCUCCAGAGCUGCAUUCAUGAUUCUGCUGGUUACAGACAGUAAUUCUAGUUCCUACCAUAAGAGCUUUACUCGGAUUAUGUGGUGUAAGCUCCCACAAUGCACUGCCACAAGAAACGAUGAGAAUUCUCAAUGCAGCCCUGGGGGUGUGGGCGGAGCAUAUGCCCAGACGAUUUUAACUGUGUAAUGUAGAAGUGUCUUCAGGGGUUGAGUCUUCCUUUAAGACUGUUCCACGGGUUCUGCUUGUCUUCCGUUGGGCCAUGUUUUGGUUCCUCGGGGGAGGGUCUGGUGUGAUGUUUGGACAUUCGUGUUGGUCCGCCGCCAUAGGGACCGGUACUUUGAGCACUUUAUCUCAUGCUUCCAGCAUAAAUCAUGCUAAGAAGGGAAUAAAAGGGAAUAAGCCCCCCCCCCCCACCAGCAACUCAGUCCCCACCUCCACUUUUGAUCUCUUCCCCACCUUCUCGAUUGGGGGGGGGGGAUCUGGUGCUGUUUGUAGGUUUUUUCCCCUCUAUGUCCCAGAAAUAUUCAAUUUUUUAAUUAAUCCGUAUUAAAGAAGCACUCCUGGAUGAUAGCUUAAGGUAUUAGAGAAUAAUGUAAAGGUUCUUGUGUACGCCCUGUGCUUACCUGUUUGAGCUAAAGUGGCAGGCAUGGGGUUGUUAGCCCAUACUGGUUGUAAUUCUAUCACUGAAAGGAUUUCCUGCUGCCCACAUUUCCCAUGAAUCCUCUGGCUUUCCAGAGAGAGGGGGUGGAGUCCUAUCACUGCACCUGGUCAUCAGAUUAGGCUGCUGGUGCUGGAGGUGGCCCAGGUGACCUGGUUUAGACUCUAUUGGGUUGGGUUUAGUUCACGUGUGCAGUUUUGUGCAUUAAAUAGGCAGAAAACAAACCCGGAGUGCUUCUUUAAGGAAUCUAGUCAGGGUUAAAGGGGUAGUACACUGCCCCAGCGUUCGAAGCAUUUUGUUCCGAAUGCUGGGUGUGGGCUGCGGGGGUCGUGACGUCAUGGCAGCGCCCCUCGUGAUGUCACGCCUCACCCCCUCAGUGCAAGUCUAUGGGAGGGGGCGUGGCCACCGCCACGCCCCCUCCCAUAGACUUGCAUUGAGGGGGCGUGGCCGUGCCCGUGAUGUCACGACCCCCGCACAAUGGGGCAGUGGAGUACCCCUUUUAAGGGAAAAUUGUAAGCAUCUUGUGCGUCAGCGAGUUCACUUGACGAGCCAUAGUAACCGAGAGCUGGGUUGGGUUGGGUAUUUUUGCUACAUUAUUAAAAUAAGGGGGAGGGGUAGUGGGCGUGGCCUUGUAUUAGACACAUCACCAUCUCCCUGUGGUUAGGGUAUAGAAUCACAAACCUAAUGAUCUGACCCGCCUGCCGGUUCCACGCAGUCAUUUGACCACUUGGCUCCUCCCAAAGUGGGAACGAUCGGUGCGAUGCAGAUCUUAGGCCUGACUGUGGGUGAGGGGGCUUAACUUUCGUUAGGGAUGGGAAGGUUCCUUUUAAUUUCCAUGAUUUUAAAGGGGUACUCCGCCCCUAGAAAUCUUAUCCUUUGGAUAGGGGAUAAGAUGUCUGAUCAUGGGGUCCGACUUGUUUAAAAUCUAAUUUUAACAUUUUUACUUCUCGAGGAGAGCGCUAAACUGGAAUAGGGAAUCUGGAGAAAAUAAUUUCAUAUGCAAAAUAAUUCAACUCCGUAAGAAAAAGUCUUCUGCCACCGGUUGAAAGUCAGUGUCCAACUAUUUUUAAAAGCCUUGAAACAUGACUGGGAAUCAUCAGCCAAACCUGAAUCUCCUUCGAAAGGAAGAGUCCCACGUUCUCUGAUGUGAUGUCAGCUGUUUCGGUGUUCUUGGCCCCGUUGUGCUACCUGUUGGAAGUAGCCUCCCUGUCAUCGUCUGACUUCCUAAUACCCAGUCAUGUUUCAAGGCUUUUAAGAAGUCUGAUAUUUGCUUACAGGGAGGCGACUACCAACUGGUGGCACAACGGGGCCAAGAACACCAAAACAGCUGACUUCACACGGGGGAGCGAGGUACUUGUCCUUUCGGAGGAGAUUCAGGUUUGACUGAUAAUCCCCAGUCAUGUUUUAAGGCUUUUAUAGGUCAAACCAGAAUCCUCUCCAAAAUGAAGAGCCCCACCACUGUUUCAGUGUUCUUGCCCCUUGAUAUUAACUAACAAGGAAGAGAUGUAUCGAUUGUCGCCAUUUUGAAUAUAGGAAAUGGGUAAAUGGGACCCAUCUAGCGGUUGAUGGAACUCGAUCGCAUCUGUACGAGGCCCUAGCGUCUAACGUUUGUGUUUGCACUACGGCGGUGCAUUGUGGGAGAGCCCUCGCCUUUCCCGUGCUGUCUAAGGAACUUUGAGCCAUUAUGAUCGCCAUUUUGUUUAUAUUACAAAGUCUAAUUUAAUCCUGGAAGUAAAGUGCCAGCUACCUUACUGUGACUCGGGGUAGUACAGCUGCUGCCCCCGGUGGUGAGGAGGUGAGCUGCACUGUUAACUUAUAAGGGUUGCAGUGAUUUUUGACGGGAUUUAGAUGCAAUUUUUGGCCUAACUACAUGGUCUAAUGAUUGGUGGCGACACCAUCGUGGAGCUGGAACGUGAAUAUCUUCAUUGUUUUUCCUUCGCUAUCUCCGCCUCCGCUACAUCCGAAAUGCCUUGUUGCCCCCUCAUUUGUACCAUGCGCCCUUUUGUUGUUGCCGGUAUUGUAAUGUAGACGAGCUCCUCUUUUAUAUUGAUGGCGGCCCUCCUGACAACAGCCAGUCAGACGGAAGCUCUAGCUUUUAAUGGAAUCUGGUUGCUUGGGGCAAUUGUAUGUAAGAUGCCCUUUAAAGGAGUACUCCGCUGCUAGACAUCUUAUCCCCCAUCCAAAGGUUAGGGGAUAAGAUGUCUGAUCGCGAAGGUCCCGCUGCGAUCUCCGGCAGCACCCAAAGUUCUAAACACACGCGGGUUCCUGCGGUAGGGGUCGUGGCUGUGACGUCACGAUCACUGCCUUGGGCUCCGAGCGUUCUGAACAAAGUGUUCAGAAUGCUGGAGCAUCGGAGUACCCCUUUAAGAUGUCUAGAAGAAGCUUCCUAUGAGGUCCCCACUGCUGGUCCAUAAGUUGAGUUGAUGAAGGUAUCGGGAGAAUCCCUGAUUUUUGUGAAAGCGGAGAGAAACCGGGAGAAUAUUUUUGUAACAAUUUUUAUUUUUCUACGAUGUGAUAGAAGCUUCGUGUACGUGAUGUGUCGUUUUGUAGGAUCGUACAAGAUUUAUGUAAAUUGUGUAUUUAAAGGGGGACUCCACCCCUAGACAUCUUAUCCCUUAUCCAAAGGAUAGGGGAUAAGAUGUUUGAUUGCGGGGGACCCUCCGCGAUCCCGGCUGCGGCACCCUAGACAUCCGGUGCACGGAGCGAACUUCGCUCCGUGCCAGAUGACUGGCGAUGCGGGGCGGAGGCUGGUGACGUCACGGCCACGCCCUGCUUGUGACAUCACAGCCACGCCCCCCUCAAUGCAAGUCUAUGGGAGGGGACGUGGACGUGACGUCACGAGCGGGGCCGGCCGUGAUGUCACAAGCCUCCAUCGCUGCACCCGACGCUCUAAACGAAUGCCAGGUGCAGCAGGGAGAUCGCGGGGGUCCCCAGAACAGACAUCUUAUCCCCAUCCUUUGGAUGAAGGAUAAGAUGUCUAGGGGCGGAGUACCCCUUUAAAGGUUUGUGCCAAAUCAAUCAGUAAAAGGAGAGUAUUGUACAAGGCCUGAACGUGUGAUCAUGGUAUAAAUCAGUGGUCUCCAAAACUUUGCGGACCUUCAGAUGUUGCAAAACGACAACUCCCAGCAUGCUUGGAGUUGUCGUUUGCAACAUGGAGGUCUGCAGGUUUGGAGACCCCCUGUCUUCAAGGAAAACAUAACACCCAGACCUAUAUAGGAUUUUUACUCUUGCUAAGGGGGUUGUCUCGUAGACAAGAACCUCCACGUUACAAGAGAUUCCAUUGACUCCAUUCUCAAGGCCGUCGGCAAACAAUGGAUUUUCGGGAAAGUUGCCAACGACUGCGUACAUCUCGUAUAGAAGGGGAUUGUGGUAAAUCAUAGCUAGACACAGAUUGGCCGAAUUCCAUUCGAAGCCAAGGCGUGUUAAUCUCACGUAGGAAAGGGUUCCAUUUUACGAUGUCCACAUGCCCUAAAAGAGACCAUGGACAAACUUUUAUCCUAACCCCCGAAAUAUGAUCUCCGUUUAUUGGAAUUUAAGGGAAAUGUCCGAGACUUAUAGAGAUUAUCCAGCGUUUCGCUAAUAUUCAUAUCCUUCUGAAGGGUGGAAUAAAAAUGGAAAAACCCUAUACUUACCUAGCCCCAGUUUCCUGUAGCUCCUUCUGGUUUCCUGAUCUUCUCUCUUCUUCCAAGAUGAGCGAUUGGUGCUUGACCUGCCCAUUCUGGGAAUUGCUGGCCAUGGCAGUGUCCUGUCUUAUACAGUGCUCGAGUCAGCCGGCAGGUCCUACAGUGCUCGAGUCAGCCGGCAGGUCCUACAGUGCUCGAGUCAGCCGGCAGGUCCUACAGUGCUCGAGUCAGCCGGCAGGUCCUACAGUGCUCGAGUCAGCCGGCAGGUCCUACAGUGCUCGAGUCAGCCGGCAGGU